UACGUAGGGUGCGAGCGUUAAUCGGAAUUACUGGGCGUAAAGCGUGCGCAGGCGGUUUUGCAAGCCGGGUGUGAAAUCCCCGGGCUCAACCUGGGAAUGGCAUUCGGGACUGCAAGGCUGGAGUGCGGCAGAGGAGACUGGAAUUCCUGGUGUAGCAGUGAAAUGCGUAGAUAUGCGGAGGAACACCGAUGGCGAAGGCAAUCCCCUGGGCCUGCACUGACACUGAGGCACGAAAGCGUGGGGAGCAAACAGG
rnacentral:rRNA from 1 species